rnacentral:misc_RNA from 1 species
GGCUUAUCCCUUCUCCACCUGUAUUGAAAUCUAAUAAUGCUCCUCAACUACUGAAAAAGAAAGGAAAGAGGGAAAAUUAAGCAUCAACUUAUCUUCUACUUACCUAUCCCACAAAAGAGGGAAAAAAACCCCUUUCCAUUUUACCAAUUUUCACAUGUUUUGUAGUCUCUGAUUGUGUCUAUAUUUGUGUAUGCUUUGAAAAGGAGGACUGACUGGCAGAUGCGGAGAACAGAAGAAGAGGGAGUUUAAAAGGAAAGAGAAAAGAAAAGGCUAGGCUUGAGUUGUGUUGCAGAAAUGAUGAUUCAAAGAUUGGAGAUGUGCAUACAAUUUAUAAGACUGGCGUUGGAAUUUGUUAUCAUUGUAGCUGAAGCAGUUGGAUUUGUGAUUGAGCAGAAUACUUCUCAUCAACUUUCAAGCCAACAUUUUCCUGCUCCUGCUCCAUUUGUUGGUAUUCUUCCAUGAAAAUGGCUCUCCAUCUCUG